rnacentral:sRNA from 1 species
ACACUUUCUCAAUAAGGAGCCUCGCCCCUCCUUUCCACUUGCAGGCUCGCUUCUUGCCCUAUCCACUCGGCAGUUCCUGGUGAUCCCACAGGAUCAUCCAUGAAGAUGGCUUCUCCGGAGAAGACGUGAAACAGUACAAGCCUGUUGUCUACAGCAACACCAUCCAGUCCCUGGCAGCCAUCGUCCGGGCCAUGGACACUUUGGGCAUCGAAUAUGGUGAUAAGGAGAGAAAGGCUGACGCCAAGAUGGUGUGUGAUGUGGUGAGUCGGAUGGAAGACACCGAGCCCUUCUCUGCAGAGCUGCUUUCUGCCAUGAUGCGGCUCUGGGGCGACUCAGGAAUCCAAGAGUGCUUCAACCGGUCCCGGGAGUAUCAGCUCAACGACUCUGCCAAAUACUACCUGGACAGCCUGGAUCGGAUUGGGGCCGCCGACUACCAGCCCACCGAGCAGGACAUCCUCCGAACCAGGGUCAAAACCACUGGCAUCGUAGAAACCCACUUCACAUUCAAGAACCUCCACUUCAGGCUGUUUGACGUCGGAGGCCAGCGAUCUGAACGCAAGAAGUGGAUCCAUUGCUUCGAGGACGUCACGGCCAUCAUUUUCUGUGUCGCGCUCAGCGGCUAUGACCAGGUGCUCCACGAAGACGAAACCACGAACCGCAUGCACGAGUCUCUCAUGCUCUUCGACUCCAUCUGUAACAACAAGUUCUUCAUCGAUACCUCCAUCAUUCUCUUCCUCAACAAGAAAGAUCUCUUUGGCGAGAAGAUCAAGAAGUCACCUUUGACCAUCUGCUUUCCUGAAUACACAGGCCCCAAUACCUAUGAAGACGCAGCCGCCUACAUCCAAGCACAAUUUGAAAGCAAAAACCGCUCACCCAACAAAGAAAUAUAUUGUCACAUGACUUGUGCCACAGACACGAAUAACAUCCAGGUGGUGUUCGACGCCGUCACCGACAUCAUCAUUGCCAACAACCUCCGGGGCUGCGGCUUGUACUGACCUCUUGUCCUGUAUAGCAACCUAUUUGGUAAUGAUUCCAGCACCCACAGAACAGCUUGCGUGCGCGUGCAUACACACACACACACACACACACACACACACCACUAACAAAUGCAAGUUGGUAAAUAAACUUUAAAGAGGCAUAACAAAACCUUAUAUAUAUAUAUAUAUACAAAUAUAUAUUUAAAAAAUCUUUUUAGUUUGUACUAGAAAGAGCUGCGGACAGAACUGACCACCAUCCCAUAGCUCAUGGAGGUUUUCCUGGGACGGCACGUGAGCAUGCACGUGUGUGUGUGUACACACACUCACACAUGUCCAGAUGGGAGCUUGGUUUGGGAGUCCCUCCUUUUGAGGAUAGCCCCGGGGUGUUCCUCUCAGCCCCAUUUCUGAGAACAGGUGAAUGGCAGAACAGCCCUGGCCUUGGCCCAGCCAGCUCUCUGUGUUGCGCCCUCAGAGCCUCUGCGCCCUCAGUUCCGUCCUGCUCUUGGCAAAUUCCAGACCCUUUCAGAAAUGGCCGAAGCCCUAAGCCUCUCCUCACUCUGCACUCCCAACAACAGAACAAUUUAAGGAUGCUUCUCUUUCGGGUGGUGGUGGUUGUUAAUUUCAGGAAUUUAGAAGAAUCAUUGCUCCGACCAAUCCACUGUCUCCUGAGUUUUCUUUAUUCAUGUUAAGAAGGCAAGAAUCAGAGAACAGGGAGACUUGGUCUGCUUUCUAAAAGCAGCUGACAGGAGGGGACUCAAGUUCACCUGCAGAGUUGAAACCAGCCCCGCUCCAAGAGGGCAUGUGGGAAGGUGGGGAGCGAGGGGAACAGGCGUGGCGGGGAGGGCCGGACUUGUGGGCCUGACCCGAGUCAGGGUCUUGGGGGGGGGCCAGGCUUCCCCAGGUGCCCGGGAUGGGCUUCAAUGGGGUUCCUGACCCCUCGUGCUGCUGCCCCAUCUCGCCCAACCCCAGCAGUAGUCAAAAUGUUCUAGGGUUUUUUGGUUGGUUGGUUGGUUUUUAAAAUCAAAGAAAAUGGUCAGACUGGACCCCUUAUCUCUCUCUCUACAGACUGCUUCACGGACUCUUUGCUGUUGACGUUGAUCUCCUGGUAGCAUGACCUUUUGGCCUUUGUAAGACACACAGCCUUUCUGUAUCAAGCCCCUGUCUAACCUACGACCCCAGAGUGACUGACGGCUGUGUAUUUCUGUAGAAUGCUGUAGAAUCCGGUUUUAGUUGAGUCUUCACAUUUAGAAUUUGAAAGGAAAAACAGAACAUUUCUCAUGUGCUUUGUAGCUUACAAAAAGGAAAACUCACCAUUUCAUCCAUAUUUCUUUUUCUUGCAAAACAAACAUACCCAUCUGCACCGACGCCUGCCCCCGUCCCACCUCGCGGCGCAGCCCCUGGCGCUCCUGCUGGGGGGCAGGGCCCAUCUGCCGCCUGGGGCUCCGGUGCGGUGCACUGGUCCGAGGAGUGUGCUCAGGCCGGGCUUUCCAGAAGGCCACAGGCCACUGCAAACCCUGCUGCCUGCCGGCCGCCCAGACACCACAGACGCCACCUGGCGGCCCUAAGCCACUCCCGCCACACGCUCACUCCAGGUUCGUAUAGAAAAAGCACAGCUCUCACUGGCCAGUAGCUGCCAAAAAGAACACCCAUUGUAUAAGGAAAUCCAGCCCCAUAGAAAACAAUCUGCCCACCGACCCCCUUUCUAAGGAUAGCCUUUGUAGGGGUUUUUUGGUUCCUUUUUUUUUUUUUUUCAGUUUUUGUUUUUACUUUUGUCCCGCAGAGUACUAUGUAUUACCAGCCCCCCACCCCACAGAUCAGUUUUCCUAGUCUUUGGGAAACGGGUUGUAUUUUUUUUCCUUUGCCGUGUUGGAUUUCCGGUCCCGGCUGACACCUCCCUUCGUGUGUGCGCCCCUCCCCACCCCUGCCUUUGUUUCGGUGCCCUGUGUCCGCUCUCUCAUGUGGGGAUGUUUGUGCUGCAGACAAAAAGAACAAAAAAAAAUUUUUAAAUACCACAAGAUGGAAAAAAAAAAAAAUUAAAAAGAUGGAAUGUAGUGUUUACAUUAAAGCCGCCGUUUUCAUGACCAAUCCUAUGUC